UACGGAGGUCUCAAGCGUUGUUCGGAUUCAUUGGGCGUAAAGGGUGCGUAGGCGGCGCGGUAAGUCGGGUGUGAAAUCUUGGAGCUUAACUCCGAAACUGCAUUCGAUACUGCCGUGCUUGAGGACUGGAGAGGAGACUGGAAUUUACGGUGUAGCGGUGAAAUGCGUAGAUAUCGUAAGGAAGACCAGUGGCGAAGGCGGGUCUCUGGACAGCUCCUGACACUGAGACACGAAGGCCAGGGGAGCAAACGGG
rnacentral:rRNA from 1 species